rnacentral:misc_RNA from 1 species
GAUGAAGAACGUAGCGAAAUGCGAUAAGUAAUGUGAAUUGCAGAAUUCAGUGAAUCAUCGAAUCUUUGAACGCACAUUGCGCCCGCCAGUAUUCUGGCGGGCAUGCCUGUCCGAGCGUCAUUUCAACCCUCGAACCCCUCCGGGGGGUCGGCGUUGGGGAUCGGCCCUUACGGGGCCGGCCCCGAAAUACAGUGGCGGUCUCGCCGCAGCCUCUCCUGCGCAGUAGUUUGCACACUCGCAUCGGGAGCGCGGCGCGUCCACAGCCGUUAAACACCCCAAACUUCUGAAAUGUUGACCUCGGAUCAGGUAGGAAUACCCGCUGAACUUAAGCAUAUCAAUAAGCGGAGGA